rnacentral:tRNA from 1 species
GCGUCUUGGAUAGCUCAAAGGUAGAGCGCAUGACUCAAGCUCAUGAUGUCGAGGGUUCGAAUCCCUCUCCGCCGUG